rnacentral:rRNA from 1 species
CACGUAGGGGGCAAGCGUUGUCCGGAUUUAUUGGGCGUAAAGAGCUUGUAGGCGGUUCGGUAAGUCGGGUGUGAAACCUCCAGGCUCAACCUGGAGUCGCCACUCGAUACUGCUGUGACUAGAGUCCGGUAGGGGAGCGUGGAAUUCCUGGUGUAGCGGUGAAAUGCGCAGAUAUCAGGAGGAACACCAGCGGCGAAGGCGGCGCUCUGGGCCGGAACUGACGCUGAGGAGCGAAAGCGUGGGUAGCAAACAGG